CUACGGGACGCAGCAGUGGGGAAUAUUGCACAAUGGGCGCAAGCCUGAUGCAGCCAUGCCGCGUGUAUGAAGAAGGCCUUCGGGUUGUAAAGUACUUUCAGCGGGGAGGAAGGGAGUAAAGUUAAUACCUUUGCUCAUUGACGUUACCCGCAGAAGAAGCACCGGCUAACUCCGUGCCAGCAGCCGCGGUAAUACGGAGGGUGCAAGCGUUAAUCGGAAUUACUGGGCGUAAAGCGCACGUAGGCGGUUUGUUAAGUUAGAUGUGAAAUCCCCGGGCUCAACCUGGGAACUGCAUCUGAUACUGGCAAGCUUGAGUCUCGUAGAGGGGGGUAGAAUUCCAGGUGUAGCGGUGAAAUGCGUAGAGAUCUGGAGGAAUACCGGUGGCGAAGGCGGCCCCCUGGACGAAGACUGACGCUCAGGUGCGAAAGCGUGGGGAGCAAACAGGAUUAGAUACCCGAGUAGUC
rnacentral:rRNA from 1 species